GUUUGCACUCAUCGGAGAAGGGUGAGAACCUUCGACUAAGGUUCGAUUCGAGCGAAAGCGAGAGAACGUUGCCACAGGCAACGGCCCGAAGGGUGAGGAGCGAAGCGACGAAUAAUCCUUCCCCCACCACCA
rnacentral:sRNA from 1 species